rnacentral:rRNA from 1 species
AGUGGCGGACGGGUGAGUAACGCGUGAGAAUCUGCCUUGGGGUCGGGGACAACCACUGGAGACGGUGGCUAAUACCGGAUAAGCCGAUUGGUGAAAGAUUUAUUGCCCGAAGAGGAGCUCGCGUCUGAUUAGCUAGUUGGUGAGGUAAGAGCUCACCAAGGCAGCGAUCAGUAGCUGGUCUGAGAGGACGAUCAGCCACACUGGGACUGAGACACGGCCCAGACUCCUACGGGAGGCAGCAGUGGGGAAUUUUCCGCAAUGGGCGAAAGCCUGACGGAGCAAGACCGCGUGAGGGAGGAAGGCUCUUGGGUUGUAAACCUCUUUUCUCAGGGAAGAAGAUCUGACGGUACCUGAGGAAUCAGCCUCGGCUAACUCCGUGCCAGCAGCCGCGGUAAUACGGAGGAGGCAAGCGUUAUCCGGAAUUAUUGGGCGUAAAGCGUCCGCAGGUGGCGAUUCAAGUCUGCUGUCAAAGCACGGGGCUUAACUCCGUAAAGGCAGUGGAAACUGAAUAGCUAGAGUGCCGUAGGGGUAGAGGGAAUUCCCGGUGUAGCCGUGAAAUGCGUAGAGAUCGGGAAGAACAUCGGUGGCGAAAGCGCUCUACUGGACGGCAACUGACACUCAGGGACGAAAGCUAGGGGAGCGAAUGGGAUUAGAUACCCC